UUAAGCGACUAAGCGUACACGGUGGAUGCCCUGGCAGUCAGAGGCGAUGAAGGACGUGCUAAUCUGCGAUAAGCGUCGGUAAGGUGAUAUGAACCGUUAUAACCGGCGAUUUCCGAAUGGGGAAACCCAGUGUGUUUCGACACACUAUCAUUAACUGAAUCCAUAGGUUAAUGAGGCGAACCGGGGGAACUGAAACAUCUAAGUACCCCGAGGAAAAGAAAUCAACCGAGAUUCCCCCAGUAGCGGCGAGCGAACGGGGAGGAGCCCAGAGCCUGAAUCAGUAUGUGUGUUAGUGGAAGCGUCUGGAAAGGCGCGCGAUACAGGGUGACAGCCCCGUACACAAAAAUGCUCAUAUUGUGAGCUCGAUGAGUAGGGCGGGACACGUGGUAUCCUGUCUGAAUAUGGGGGGACCAUCCUCCAAGGCUAAAUACUCCUGACUGACCGAUAGUGAACCAGUACCGUGAGGGAAAGGCGAAAAGAACCCCGGCGAGGGGAGUGAAAAAGAACCUGAAACCGUGUACGUACAAGCAGUGGGAGCACGCUUCGGCGUGUGACUGCGUACCUUUUGUAUAAUGGGUCAGCGACUUAUAUUCUGUAGCAAGGUUAACCGAAUAGGGGAGCCGAAGGGAAACCGAGUCUUAACUGGGCGUUAAGUUGCAGGGUAUAGACCCGAAACCCGGUGAUCUAGCCAUGGGCAGGUUGAAGGUUGGGUAACACUAACUGGAGGACCGAACCGACUAAUGUUGAAAAAUUAGCGGAUGACUUGUGGCUGGGGGUGAAAGGCCAAUCAAACCGGGAGAUAGCUGGUUCUCCCCGAAAGCUAUUUAGGUAGCGCCUCGUGAACUCAUCUCCGGGGGUAGAGCACUGUUUCGGCAAGGGGGUCAUCCCGACUUACCAACCCGAUGCAAACUGCGAAUACCGGAGAAUGUUAUCACGGGAGACACACGGCGGGUGCUAACGUCCGUCGUGAAGAGGGAAACAACCCAGACCGCCAGCUAAGGUCCCAAAGUCAUGGUUAAGUGGGAAACGAUGUGGGAAGGCCCAGACAGCCAGGAUGUUGGCUUAGAAGCAGCCAUCAUUUAAAGAAAGCGUAAUAGCUCACUGGUCGAGUCGGCCUGCGCGGAAGAUGUAACGGGGCUAAACCAUGCACCGAAGCUGCGGCAGCGACACUGUGUGUUGUUGGGUAGGGGAGCGUUCUGUAAGCCUGUGAAGGUGUGCUGUGAGGCAUGCUGGAGGUAUCAGAAGUGCGAAUGCUGACAUAAGUAACGAUAAAGCGGGUGAAAAGCCCGCUCGCCGGAAGACCAAGGGUUCCUGUCCAACGUUAAUCGGGGCAGGGUGAGUCGACCCCUAAGGCGAGGCCGAAAGGCGUAGUCGAUGGGAAACAGGUUAAUAUUCCUGUACUUGGUGUUACUGCGAAGGGGGGACGGAGAAGGCUAUGUUGGCCGGGCGACGGUUGUCCCGGUUUAAGCGUGUAGGCUGGUUUUCCAGGCAAAUCCGGAAAAUCAAGGCUGAGGCGUGAUGACGAGGCACUACGGUGCUGAAGCAACAAAUGCCCUGCUUCCAGGAAAAGCCUCUAAGCAUCAGGUAAUAUCAAAUCGUACCCCAAACCGACACAGGUGGUCAGGUAGAGAAUACCAAGGCGCUUGAGAGAACUCGGGUGAAGGAACUAGGCAAAAUGGUGCCGUAACUUCGGGAGAAGGCACGCUGAUAUGUAGGUGAAGUCCCUUGCGGAUGGAGCUGAAAUCAGUCGAAGAUACCAGCUGGCUGCAACUGUUUAUUAAAAACACAGCACUGUGCAAACACGAAAGUGGACGUAUACGGUGUGACGCCUGCCCGGUGCCGGAAGGUUAAUUGAUGGGGUCAGCGCAAGCGAAGCUCUUGAUCGAAGCCCCGGUAAACGGCGGCCGUAACUAUAACGGUCCUAAGGUAGCGAAAUUCCUUGUCGGGUAAGUUCCGACCUGCACGAAUGGCGUAAUGAUGGCCAGGCUGUCUCCACCCGAGACUCAGUGAAAUUGAACUCGCUGUGAAGAUGCAGUGUACCCGCGGCAAGACGGAAAGACCCCGUGAACCUUUACUAUAGCUUGACACUGAACAUUGAGCCUUGAUGUGUAGGAUAGGUGGGAGGCUUGGAAGUGUGGACGCCAGUCUGCAUGGAGCCGACCUUGAAAUACCACCCUUUAAUGUUUGAUGUUCUAACGUUGACCCGUAAUCCGGGUUGCGGACAGUGUCUGGUGGGUAGUUUGACUGGGGCGGUCUCCUCCUAAAGAGUAACGGAGGAGCACGAAGGUUGGCUAAUCCUGGUCGGACAUCAGGAGGUUAGUGCAAUGGCAUAAGCCAGCUUGACUGCGAGCGUGACGGCGCGAGCAGGUGCGAAAGCAGGUCAUAGUGAUCCGGUGGUUCUGAAUGGAAGGGCCAUCGCUCAACGGAUAAAAGGUACUCCGGGGAUAACAGGCUGAUACCGCCCAAGAGUUCAUAUCGACGGCGGUGUUUGGCACCUCGAUGUCGGCUCAUCACAUCCUGGGGCUGAAGUAGGUCCCAAGGGUAUGGCUGUUCGCCAUUUAAAGUGGUACGCGAGCUGGGUUUAGAACGUCGUGAGACAGUUCGGUCCCUAUCUGCCGUGGGCGCUGGAGAACUGAGGGGGGCUGCUCCUAGUACGAGAGGACCGGAGUGGACGCAUCACUGGUGUUCGGGUUGUCAUGCCAAUGGCACUGCCCGGUAGCUAAAUGCGGAAGAGAUAAGUGCUGAAAGCAUCUAAGCACGAAACUUGCCCCGAGAUGAGUUCUCCCUGACUCCUUGAGAGUCCUGAAGGAACGUUGAAGACGACGACGUUGAUAGGCCGGGUGUGUAAGCGCAGCGAUGCGUUGAGCUAACCGGUACUAAUGAACCGUGAGGCUUAACCUU
rnacentral:rRNA from 1 species